rnacentral:tRNA from 1 species
AGCCCGGUGGUGUAGUGGCCAAGCAUCCUAGGCUUUGGACCUGGGGACUGCGGUUCGAAUCCGCACCGGGCUA